UUUUUUUUUUUUUUUUUUUUUUUGCUUUUGUCUUUUUAGGGCCGCAUCUACAGCAUAUGGAGGUUCCCAGGUUAGGGGUUGAGUCGGAGCUUUAGCUGCCAGCCUAUGCCACAGCCACAGUAACACUGGAUACAAGCUGCGUCUGCAACCUAUACCACAGCUCAUGGUAAUGCCAAACUCUUAACCCACUGAGCAAGGCCAGGGAUCAAACCUGUGUCCUCAUGGAUACUAGUUGGGUUCGUUAACCACUGAGCCAUGAUAAGAACUCUGGAAGGUCAAUCUUAAUUUUGGAAGUUCUGCUUAUUAUUAUACAUCACCAUCCUCAGAAAACUUUAGUUCUAUGCAGAGUUAUGUAAAUGUGCUUAAAAUUCAUCCAGGCGCUAUCUUUAACCUGACUUUGUGGUAACUGGGUAUCAGUCAAAAGGAAUGCAAAGUGACAAGAGGGUGGAUUGCCACUUAAAAAGGACAUUUCUGAACAAAUGGGGCUUAAUCAAACUUAGAAGCUUCUGCAUACCAAAGUAAACUAAACAAAACAAAAAGACAAAUGACAGAAUGGAAAAUAUUUGCAAACAAUGUGACUGACAAGGGCUUAAUUUUCAAAAUAUACAAACAGUUCAGACAACUCAAUAAUGACAAUACUCACCCCUCCAAACGACCCAAUCAAGAAAUGAGCAGAAGACCUAAAUAGAUAUUUCUCCAAAGAAGACACACAGAUGGCCAAUAGGUGCAAGAAAAGAUGCUCAGCAUCACUAAUUAUUGGAGAAAUGCAAAUCAAAACUACAGUGAGGUAUCACUUCAUACUGGUCAGAGUGGCCAUCAUUAAUAAGUCUAUAAAGGACAAAUGCUGAAAAGGGUGUGGAGAAAAAGGACCCCUCCUACACUGUUGGUGGGAAUGCAAACUGGUACAACCACUAUGGAAAAUAGUAUGGGGGUUCCUCAGAAAACUAAAUAUAGAACUACAAUAUGAUCCAGAAAUCCCAUUCCUGGGCAUAUAUCCAGACAAAAGUUUCAUUCAAAAAGAUACAUGCACUCCUAAGUUCACAGCAGCACUAUUCACAAUAACCAAUACAUGCAAACAACCUAAAUGUCCAUCAAAAGAUGAAUGGAUUAACAAGAUGUAUUACAUAUAUACAAUGGAAUACUACUAAACUGUAAAAAGAAUGAAAUAAUGCCAUAUGCAGCAACAAGAAUGGACCUAGAGAUUAUCAUACUAAGUGAAGUAAGUCACAAAGAGAAAGACAAAUACACUAUGAUAUCUCCUAUAUGUAGAAUCUAAAAUAUGGCACAAAUGAACCUAUCUAUAGAACAGACUCACAGACAUGGAGAACAGACUUAUGGUUGCCAAGGCAGAAGGGGGAGGGAGGGAGAUGGACUGGGAGUUUGGGGUUAGUAGCUGCAAACUAUUACAUUUAGAAAAUGGAUUAAAAAGGUCCUAUUACAUAGUACAGGGAACUAGAUCCAAUCUCCUGAGACAGACCAUGAUGGAAAAGAAUAUUAAAAAAAAGAAGGUAUAUAUGUAUGACUGAGUCAUUUUGCUGUACAGCAAAAAUUGGUACAACAUUGUAAAUCAACUAUACUUUAAUAAAAAAAUUAAAAAUUAAGAAAAGAUAGCAACACCAAAACAAAGAAACAACCCAAUAAAGAAAUAAAAUAGACAUUUCUCUAAAGAAGACUUACAGAUGGCAAAUAGGCACAUGAAAAAAUGCUCAGCAUCGCUAAUUACUGGAGAAAUGCAAAUGAGAACUACAAUGACGUACUACCUCACACAAGUCAGAACAGCCCUCAUUAAGAAGUCUACAUAUAAUAAAUGCUGGAGAGGGCGUGGAGAAAAGGGAACCUUCUUCCACUGUUGGUGGUUAUGCAAACUGGUAUAGCCACUAUGGAAAACAGUAUGGAGGGUCCCUAAAAAACUGAAAAUAGAGUUGCCAUAGGAUCCAGCAAUCUCACUCCCAGGUAUAUAUCUAGAGAAAAACAUAAUUUGAAAAGAAGCAUGUAUCCCAAUGUUCACAGCAGCACUACUUACAAUAGCCAAGACAUGAGAGCAACCAAGUCCAUCAACAAAUGAAGGAUAAAGAACAUGUGGUAUGUAUAUACAAUAGAACAGUACUCAGCCAUUAAAAAGAAUAAAAUAAUGCCAUUUGCAGCAACAAGGAUGGAUCUAGAGAUUGUCACACUAAGUGAGGUAAGUGAGAAAGAGAAAGACAAACACCAUGCGAUAUUAUUUAUAUGUAGAAUCUAAAAUAUGACAAAUGAACUUAUUAAUACAGAACAGAAACAGACUCACAGACACAGAGAACAGACUUGUGGCUGCCAAGUGGAGGUUGGGUGAUGGGUGGGUUGUGAGUUUGGGAUCAGCAAAUGCAAACUAUUAUAUAUAUAUAUAUAUCUAUCUAUAUCCGAAUCACUAUGUUGUACAACAGAAACUACCACAUUGUAGGAGUUGCUGCAGUGGCAAAGUGGGUUAAGGAUCUGGUGUUGCCGCAGCUGUGGUGUAGGUUGCAGAUGUGGCUUGGAUUUGAUCCGUGGCCUGGAAACUUCCAUAUAUUUCAGGUGUGGCUGAAAAAGGGAAAAAAAAAAAAAAAAAAAAAAAAGAAAAGAAACUAACACAUUGUAAAUCAACUAUACCUCAAUAAAAUAAAUUUAAAAAACAUUUCUGAGAAGAAACGUAGCUUAUUAGAAUUAUAUUUCAUCUUAAAAUGAAAAAACAGGAAAGUGAAAUAUGGGGAAAAUCUCUAAAUUUUGACUAUCUUAUACCUAAAGAAAAAAUGAUUUUUUUUGGUCUUUUUGCCUUUUCUAGGGCCACUCCCGAGGCAUAUGGAGGUUCCCAGGUAUUUGAUUUUUUGGGGUACAAUUUUAAAAGGUAUUGUCCAAGACACCAUCAAACUCCUGGAAGAUAACAGGCAAAACAUUCUCUGACAUCAACCUUACAAAUGUUUUCUCAGGUCAAUCUCCCCAAACAACAGAAAUAAAAGCAAAAAAUAAACCAAUGGGACCUAAUCAAACUGACAAGCUUUCACACAGCAAAGGAAACCAAAAAGAAAAGAAAAAGAAAACUUACGGAAGUACCAUCAUGGCACAGUGGAAACGAAUCUGACUAGGAACCACGAGGUUGCAGGUUCAAUCCCUGGCCUCGCUUGGUGGGUUAAGGAUACGGCAUUGCCGUGAGCUGUGGUGUAGGUUGCAGAUGUGGCUUGGAUCUGGCAUUGCUGUGGCUGUGGCGUAGGCCAGCAGCUACAGCUCCGAUUAGACUCCUAGCCUGGGAACCUCCAUAUGCCAUGGGUGUGGCUCUAAAAAGACAAAAGACAAAAAAAAAAAAAAAAGAAAAAAAAA
rnacentral:lncRNA from 1 species